rnacentral:rRNA from 1 species
UACGUAGGGGGCAAGCGUUGUCCGGAUUUAUUGGGCGUAAAGAGCGUGUAGGCGGCCAUACAGGUCCGUUGUGAAAACUGGAGGCUCAACCUCCAGACGUCGACGGAAACCGUAUGGCUAGAGUCCGGAAGAGGAGAGUGGAAUUCCUGGUGUAGCGGUGAAAUGCGCAGAUAUCAGGAAGAACACCCGUGGCGAAGGCGGCUCUCUGGGACGGUACUGACGCUGAGGCACGAAAGCCAGGGGAGCAAACGGG